rnacentral:rRNA from 1 species
UUAAAUUGAAGAGUUUGAUCAUGGCUCAGGUUGAACGCUGGCGGCAGGCCUAACACAUGCAAGUCGAACGGUAACAGGAAGCAG